rnacentral:lncRNA from 1 species
UAUCAUUUUCUUGUUGUCCGAUAGUGAUAUUGUUGUUUGGCCUGAAUUGUCCUGAUGUUGUUCUUUGAUUUUCUACAAAAUCAAAAAAUUACGCCAAUCAAAUAUGAAGAUUAAAACCUAUAUUGCAUAAAGACUUAUAAACUUGGACUAAUUUGGUAAUGGGUUUGCAUACUGAGAAAUCUUUUGAAAGUCAAUGUUGAACAAAAUUUGUCCAAUCUUCAACACUUAUG